rnacentral:rRNA from 1 species
ACACGUGUAUUCGAAGGACUCUCGGCAACGGAUAUCUUGGCUCUUGCAUCGAUGAAGAACGUAGCGAAAUGCGAUACUUGGUGUGAAUUGCAGAAUCCCGUGAACCAUCGAGUCUUUGAACGCAAGUUGCGCCCGAAGCCAUUAGGCUGAGGGCAUGCCUGCCUGGGU